GCUGACCGCCAGGGCGGCCCGAAGCGGCAGGCGGGGCCGCGGGCGCUGGCCGGGCGGCCCCGACGGCGGAGGACAGGCUUGCGAGUGACAGGCCUCGCGUUAGAACGGAGUGGCUGUUCCCCCGUCCAUUGUCACCCCGGCGGCACGCGCGGCGGGCAGGGUCGCCGGCCCCGUCCCAUGUGGCUCCGACAGCCACGGAGUCCGAGGGAAGAGACCGGCCCAAGAAUUUUGGCCGAUAAUGCGCAGUAUGCCCAAUGCGAGAAAAGAAUCCUGUGGCUAUUUUUGACACACCAGAAAAACCACUUGCGAACAGAGCUCAAUAAAUAGCUUCUACUAUUA